rnacentral:lncRNA from 1 species
UCUGAAAAAAGUGUUUGUGAAUUGUUUAGAAAAAUUGUUUUUUUGAAAAGAGAAUUUAACUUUGUAAUGAUUCUUGUAUGAAUGUAUACAAAGUGAUAUCUCGUUUAGUUUUGAAAAUUGUUUAGAAAAAUAUAACUCGGUAAUGAUUCUAGUAUGAAUGUAUACCAAGUGGUGAUUUUCUGAAGAUAUUUUGAAAGGUGUGAGGUG